UUUCUCUCUCUGUUUCUCUGUCUGUGUCUGUCUCACUGUGUCUCUCUGUCUGUGUCUCCCUGUCUCUCUCUGUCUCUCUGUUUGUAUCUGUCUCACUGUGUCUCUCUGUUUCCCCGCGUCUCACCAUAUCUCCCCGCGUGUGUCCCCAAUCCCGUAGCCACCACCGCCACCACCACCACCGCUGCCGCCACCACCACCACCACCACCGCGGUGUCUACGGGAGACGAGGCGACGCUCCCCGCCGGUGGCGGCAGCGCCUCCAUCAGCUUCAUGGCGGCCAUAGCGGUGCUGGCGAUCCUCCCCUUCGUGGUGUGCACCGCGUGGGGCACACGGAGCGCCGGCAAACGUGGCGCGGACGAGCAAGGAGGGAGCUCCCCGAGCCUGGUGCCCGAGAGAGAUGCCGUCUCUGCCGAGUGCAGCGACGAGGAGGCCGCCACGGCGCGGAUGACGGAGCGGCACGCGGAGACGGAGGUGUAAGAGGAGAAGAGGUGGAGGAUGAGGUGUCAAGAGUCGGAGUCGGAAGUUUGUGUGUUUGUGGGCAAGGCGGCCACUGUAGUAGUACCGUCCUUGUUGCUGUUGUUAUAUUGAUGGUGAAAAGUUAUUUCUCACCCACCCCCCUCACCCCGACUUUAUAUUGAAGCUUUUAGUUGUGUGAUGUCCGGUACUCACACAGAGACCCAAAGACUCGCCACACAGAGACCCACAGACUCACCACACAGAGACCCAAAGACUCGCACAGAGACCCACAGACUCACCACACAGACACCCAUAGACUCACCACAAAUAGACCCACAGACUCAUCACACAGAGAGCCACACAGAGGACCCACAGACUCACCACACAGACACCCAUAGACUCACCACACAGAGACCCACAGACUCACCACACAGAGAACCACAGACUUAUCACACAGAGACCCACACAGAGAUCCACAGACUCACCACACAGAGACCCACAGACUCACCACACAGCGACCCACAGACUCACCACUCAGAGACCCGUAGACUCACCACACAGAGACCCUUAGACUCACACACAGAGACCCAUAGACUCACCACACAGAGACCCAUAGACCCACCACACAGAGACCCACAGACUCAUCACACAGAGACCCAUAGACUCACUCACACAGAGACCCAUAGACUCACUCACACAGAGACCCAUAGACUCACUCACACAGAGACCCAUAGACUCACUCACACAGAGACCCAUAGACUCACUCACACAGACCUAUAGACUCACUCACACAGAGACCCACAGACUCACCACUCAGAGACCCGUAGACUCACCACACAGAGACCCACAGACUCACCACACAGAGACCCACAGACUCACCACACAGAGACCCAUAGACUCACCACUCAGAGACCCACAGACUCACCACUCAGAGACCCACAGACUCACCACACAGAGACCCACAGACUCACCACACAGAGACCCACAGACUCACCACUCAGAGACCCACAGACUCACCACUCAGAGACCCACAGACUCACCACACAGAGACCCACAG